rnacentral:rRNA from 1 species
UACGUAGGGGGCGAGCGUUAUCCGGAUUUACUGGGCGUAAAGCGCGUUAAGGCGGCCGACAAAGGUGGUGGUGAAAUUUCAGGGCUCAACUCUGAAACUGCCUCCAAUACUGGUCGGCUUGAGUGCGAGAGAGGAAGGUGGAAUUCCCGGUGUAGUAGUGAAACGCGUAGAUAUCGGGAGGAACACCAGUGGCGAAGGCGGGUCUCUGGGCAGUAACUGACGCUGAGGAGCGAAAGCGUGGGGAGCGAACAGG